GUGAGGUUGAAAUGCAGUGACACUUGGGAAAUACUUAUUAUAGUAAGUGCUUAAUAAACUUCAGCGAUCAUUCAUCAUCAUCAUCAUCAUCAUCAUCAGAGUGACAGCCAAGUGGCAUAUGCAGCAGGAAGGGAAAAUGAAGCUCUAUAAAGCAAUAGCCACAGAGCGGCUCCAGGGGCCAACUGGAGCCAUGGGGAGCCCUGAGGGUGGCCCAGAGCUCUAGGAUCGCAGUUCUGGUCCCCUGAGCCACCCCUGCAGCUCCUCUGUGCCGCUUCCCUACCCCUCCAGCAGUGACUCUCCCCAGGCUACAGUGGGGGCUGUGGACUGUGCCUGAUCCACCCGCCUCCCUGGGGUCUCACACGGCCCGGCACAGAGCAGCCACUCAGCAAAUGCUCGCAGAGUGAACCAAUGAGCUGCGGCUAAACCGGACCCAGUGCCAAGAAACAGCCGGGGCCGCAGGGGACCAGGAUCAAGCAAGUUAAGACAAAGCCCAUUUGAACAGAAGGAUCUUAAGAUCCUCCGCUGGGCACACGACCUUCUCCAGGGAAGGAAAGUUAGAUGAGGGUCCAGAGCGAAACAGUCUGCAAUCUGUUUUGUUGUAAGUGACAGAAACCCAUCAUAAACAAAACUGAAACGGGACUUGUUGGUUUCAGGGCUGGAGCUGGCCUCAGGGGCUGCAGACAUUCAAAUCAUCGCUGGAUCUCUCCUCUCCUCUCCUCUCCUCCCCUCUCCUCUCCUUCUCCUCCUUUCCCUCCUCCUCUCUCUCUCUCUCCUUCCCUCCCCUCCCCUCUCCACUCUGCACACCGCCCUCAGUUUUUCCUACAGCACCAGACUUCUUCCAUUCAGUAGGGGGAGCAGCAGCUGCAGGGGCAGGAAGAGAGGGGCCUUGGCCACAGACAGCUCUAAGCUUUCCUUGUCCCAGUCCAGGGACUGAAAAGGAGCUUUUGUCAUCUCAGCCUGGCGUCUGUCUGUAAAAUCCCCGAGAAGGACUCUGAUUGGCCCUGCUUGAGUCACAUGUCCUCUUGCCAGACCAAUCACCACAGCCAGGAGAAUGGCGUCUGGGGAUUGCCAGGCUGGCUGGGGUUGCGGCAGUGAAACAGCUGGUACCCCAGAACCAAGCACGGAAGGGGAUGGUCCGCGAAAGAUCUCGGGAGCACGGUCUUCCUCCUGUCUCUCAUGCAAUCUCAGCCCCGAACUCCUUGACGCCCCUGGCCAAACCUGAUGAGAAUAUCAGAGAACCUUGUCCAAGGGGCAGUGGGGAUGCAGGGGUCCCAUGCUGUGCCCAAAGCCGGAAGUCUACGUGUUGGACUGGACAGAGCUACUGAAACAUGCUAAGGCCCUCCCACCGAACUUGGAACAAAGUCCGCACCCCCCACCGUGACCUGCAAGGCCUGCUGGGCCCAGCCCCCAUGGGGCCUUCUCCUGCGCUGUCGCCAGGGACCGCCUGCUCGCAUGGCUCAGGUCCCUGCUCAGAUGCUACCUUCCCUGACCACCCUGUUAAGGGGACCCCCUGACCCCACACCAGCCUCUCUAUGUUUAUAUAGACUUGUCCCUGUCUGAAAAUCUCCUGGUUUACUUAUUUACUGGACUGGAAGCUUCCUGAGGCUGAAACUAGGCCAGUCUUGUCUCUGCUGGGUCCCAGAGCCCAGCCCAAGGCCCAGCACAGAGACAAGACUCAUGAAUGUUUGUUGGUUGAAUGAAUGAACGGCCGUUCUAAGUCAUCCUGCCUUAGGCCUCAACAGAUGGCAGACGGGAGGAGUCUGCCUGGUGCCACCUGGUGAGUGAAUGAGUGGAUGUUGUCAUCUUACAUAAAGGAUGCGGAAAUCAGCUUCCUCCUCCCUUCCUACCCAGUUAUCCAGUUGCCCUUCAAAACCCUCAGUCUGACCCUCCGUCCACAGAACCCGGGGCAGCCGGUCCUCCUCGAGCAGCAAAGGCCCUUCGCAUGGCCAGUACAGCUAAAUAAACUGUCUGUGGAAUAAUUGAUAAUUACUGCACUUGAGUUCCCAUUCAAGUUCAAUGUUUGUGACUAAAAGCUAUGUCCAAGCCCUUCAGAGGGGACACCUCCGUUCUCAGAGCAUCUGCAUUUCUAACCAGGCUCCUCCUCGAGCACGGAGCCCUCACUGCAGGAGCACAGAGUGAAAAGCCGCGGGCCCCUCUGCUUUCAAUUCUAACAGCCACCGGAAGUGGGAUCCUGGGCACCCAGCACCUUGAAUUACCAAGACUGGGGUCAGACCUUCCUCCGAGCUGGCGCAAGAGAAGCUGGAGAGGAAGGGGAGAGAGGAGGAGCAGGAGGAAACACGCUGGGCCGGCUGCGGGCGCAGCAGGAGCCAUCCUCGAUCACCAGGCCGAAGGAGCACCGGCUCCCGAGGGAGGCUCCCGGGGUGCGGUGGAGGCGCUCGGCUUCUCUCUUCAACAAGACCUGGAGAAUGUUAAUUGUUACUGUAGGUGUGUGGCGUGCAGACUAUUUGUAAGUGAGAGAAGAGUUCUGUUGCUGUGACUAAAGAGAGCGCAAUGGGUGUGGAAGACUGGAACCCGUGAGUUCCUCAAGCUGAGGCUCGGUUAAACCAUCAAUGCUUUCCUGCCAAUUGGCGCUUGCAGCUCGAGCCUUCACGCCUUUGCACACAGUCGAGGUAAUAACCACCGUGCUGCGAAAAGGCAGCCGGCUGGCAGGGGCCGCUCGCUGCACAGAGCGUUCUUUGGUUCAAAAAAGAAAAAAAAUCAUAAAAUUAAAAAAAACUGUUUAAGCUUAAAAACUAAAAGGAAGCAGUUGGCUCCAGUUGUCGAAAUGUUUUAUAAAGCAACAGCAAGAUGAAAAAAAAUUAAGAAUAAAAAAUAAACUGUCCCAGAAUGCUGAGAGAGGGCCAAAAAUAUUAAUAUGCGGGAACAUGGCAAAGCUUCUGCAAGCUGUAAAUAUUCCCUUCGGUUCCCAUGUAUGAUCGGCAAGGAUGGUGGUCCUUUUCUCCCUCGGCUCUUCCUGUUUGAAAUCUACGACAAAUAACAUUUCUUCAAAAAAUAAAAUAAGUAUUAGGGGAAGAAAGUGUGUGUGUCAGAGGUCCCUGAAUUUCUUAUUUUAAAUAUUAUAGGGAGGGGCCUGCCCG
ensembl:lncRNA